UUUUAAAAACAUUCAAUCGAUGUCGUGGACACAACAAGAAAAAGAUUUUUCUACGUUUUCAGAUUUGUUGACAAUCAAGUUUGAAACAAAUUUCAUUGAAUUAGUGGAAACAAACGAGUGCCUAUGGUCGAAGGAACAUCGACUGUAUAAAAACAGCCACGCAAAGGAAAAAAAAAUGGACUGAUGUAUUAAAAGCACUGAAACAAGGAAUGAAAUGGCGAUGAAAAGAAGAUAGAACAGCCUCCGCGAGAAAUAUAUUCGCGGAAUAAAUGCGCUAUCAAAAGCUUAAGUUCAGGAUCAGCUCCGACUGCAAUUCCAUCAUGGUCGUACUUUUAAGCAACAAAGUUUUUGAAAACACAUCCGCAAAAGAAGCAUCUUAUGCGCUGAAUACUGUUCUGGUUGCCGGGGGUGAACGCGAAACUCCAAGCAAAAGAAACAAACGUUAGCACAAAGCUAUUGAUUUCAGUUCAGUUCAUGGUGAGAACAAUGUGUGCAGCAGAACCUACGAGACAUGAUGUCCUCGCAAAAUACCUUUGCGAAUCGAUUGAGAAAAUGCCGAUAUCGACUGUUAUACCGUUGGAAGCUGAGUUCUUGGACUGAUGCCUCACCGAUUUUUAUCUGAAUAAGAUCG